AAAUUGAAGAGUUUGAUCAUGGCUCAGAUUGAACGCUGGCGGCAGGCCUAACACAUGCAAGUCGAACGGUAACAGGAAGCAGCUUGCUGCUUUGCUGACGAGUGGCGGACGGGUGAGUAAUGUCUGGGAAACUGCCUGAUGGAGGGGGAUAACUACUGGAAACGGUGGCUAAUACCGCAUAACGUUGCAAGACCAAAGAGGGGGACCUUCGGGCCUCUUGCCAUCAGAUGUGCCCAGAUGGGAUUAGCUAGUUGGUGAGGUAACGGCUCACCAAGGCGACGAUCCCUAGCUGGUCUGAGAGGAUGACCAGCCACACUGGAACUGAGACACGGUCCAGACUCCUACGGGAGGCAGCAGUGGGGAAUAUUGCACAAUGGGCGCAAGCCUGAUGCAGCCAUGCCGCGUGUAUGAAGAAGGCCUUCGGGUUGUAAAGUACUUUCAGCGGGGAGGAAGGUGUUGUGGUUAAUAACCGCAGCAAUUGACGUUACCCGCAGAAGAAGCACCGGCUAACUCCGUGCCAGCAGCCGCGGUAAUACGGAGGGUGCAAGCGUUAAUCGGAAUUACUGGGCGUAAAGCGCACGCAGGCGGUCUGUCAAGUCGGAUGUGAAAUCCCCGGGCUCAACCUGGGAACUGCAUUCGAAACUGGCAGGCUUGAGUCUUGUAGAGGGGGGUAGAAUUCCAGGUGUAGCGGUGAAAUGCGUAGAGAUCUGGAGGAAUACCGGUGGCGAAGGCGGCCCCCUGGACAAAGACUGACGCUCAGGUGCGAAAGCGUGGGGAGCAAACAGGAUUAGAUACCCUGGUAGUCCACGCCGUAAACGAUGUCUACUUGGAGGUUGUGCCCUUGAGGCGUGGCUUCCGGAGCUAACGCGUUAAGUAGACCGCCUGGGGAGUACGGCCGCAAGGUUAAAACUCAAAUGAAUUGACGGGGGCCCGCACAAGCGGUGGAGCAUGUGGUUUAAUUCGAUGCAACGCGAAGAACCUUACCUGGUCUUGACAUCCACAGAACUUUCCAGAGAUGGAUUGGUGCCUUCGGGAACUGUGAGACAGGUGCUGCAUGGCUGUCGUCAGCUCGUGUUGUGAAAUGUUGGGUUAAGUCCCGCAACGAGCGCAAC
rnacentral:rRNA from 1 species